rnacentral:rRNA from 2 species
CAUGCAGUCGAGCGGACUUAAAAAGCUUGCUUUUUAAGUUAGCGGCGGACGGGUGAGUAACACGUGGGCAACCUGCCUGUAAGACUGGGAUAACUUCGGGAAACCGGAGCUAAUACCGGAUAAUCCUUUUCUACUCAUGUAGAAAAGCUGAAAGACGGUUUACGCUGUCACUUACAGAUGGGCCCGCGGCGCAUUAGCUAGUUGGUGAGGUAACGGCUCACCAAGGCGACGAUGCGUAGCCGACCUGAGAGGGUGAUCGGCCACACUGGGACUGAGACACGGCCCAGACUCCUACGGGAGGCAGCAGUAGGGAAUCUUCCGCAAUGGACGAAAGUCUGACGGAGCAACGCCGCGUGAGUGAUGAAGGUUUUCGGAUCGUAAAACUCUGUUGUUAGGGAAGAACAAGUACGAGAGUAACUGCUCGUACCUUGACGGUACCUAACCAGAAAGCCACGGCUAACUACGUGCCAGCAGCCGCGGUAAUACGUAGGUGGCAAGCGUUGUCCGGAAUUAUUGGGCGUAAAGCGCGCGCAGGCGGUCCUUUAAGUCUGAUGUGAAAGCCCAC